UCGCUUUGGCAGCACAUAUACUAAAAAUUGUAACGAUACAGAGAAGAUUAGCAUGGGCUCUGCGCAGUGAAUACAUUGAGCAUAUUUAUGUUGGAUGUCAGAUAUAUUU